rnacentral:rRNA from 1 species
CGAAGGUGGCAAGCGUUACUCGGAAUUACUAGGCGUAAAGGGCAGGUAGGUGGUCUGGUUAGUCUGUUGUGAAAGCUCCUUGCUUAACGAGGAGAGGUCAACAGAUACUGCCAGGCUUGAGUAUGGGAGAGGUUACUGGAAUUCCUGGUGUAGCGGUGAAAUGCGCAGAGAUCAGGAGGAACACCGAUGGCGAAAGCAGGUAACUGGACCAUUACUGACACUCAGCUGCGAAAGCUAGGGGAGCAAACAGGAUUAGAUACCCUGGUAGUCCUAGCCGUAAACGAUGCACAUUAGGCGUGAGGGGUAUCGACCCCCUUCGUGCCGAAGCAAACGCAUUAAAUGUGCCGCCUGGGGAGUACGGCCGCAAGGUUG